AAUUCUCAAAAUCCCUUUUCUUCUGGAAAAGGUUUUUUGGACUUGGAGGUUCAAUGCUAGCCUUCACCUUUGAAGGUGAGCUCCUCUCAAAUGAAUUAGUGGGGUCUGCUCUGUCGGUCCUUGACGUGAUAAAAUGUUUCUACGUUUUGGAUUUGGCACUGUCUCUUGGACACCUGCUCCUACCCGUCUCAGGGACAAAUGAUGGUGCUUCGGUCACCGCCGUUGGCGGGAGGCUGGGCCCACGGAAAAAC
rnacentral:misc_RNA from 1 species